GUUUCUUCCUUCAGAUGUUCAGAUGCGUCUGGAGUUUCUUCCUUCUGGUGGGUUCGUGGGCUCCUUGGCCUCAGGAGUGAAGCUGCAGACCUUCGCGCUAGACAGAAAUGUUCUCCAAGUCCCCACACGUCCCAGAAGCCCAUCCAGCUUCACCAUUCACUGGCACUCGCCUCCAGACUUUGUGGCACCUAGCCUAGGCACUCCGGCAGCCCAGAGGGAGCUCGUCCCAGACAACCAAGAGGAAAAGGGGGGAAGCGAGAAAGAGAUGGAG
rnacentral:lncRNA from 1 species